ACGGGUGAGUAAUAUAUCGGAACGUGCCCUGGAGUGGGGGAUAACGUAGCGAAAGUUACGCUAAUACCGCAUACGAUCUACGGAUGAAAGUGGGGGACCGCAAGGCCUCAUGCUCGUGGAGCGGCCGAUAUCUGAUUAGCUAGUUGGUAGGGUAAAAGCCUACCAAGGCAUCGAUCAGUAGCUGGUCUGAGAGGACGACCAGCCACACUGGGACUGAGACACGGCCCAGACUCCUACGGGAGGCAGCAGUGGGGAAUUUUGGACAAUGGGGGCAACCCUGAUCCAGCAGUGCCGCGUGAGUGAAGAAGGCCUUCGGGUCGUAAAGCUCUUUUGUCAGGGAAGAAACGGCGGGCUCUAAUACGGCUUGCUAAUGACGGUACCUGAAGAAUAAGCACCGGCUAACUACGUGCCAGCAGCCGCGGUAAUACGUAGGGUGCGAGCGUUAAUCGGAAUUACUGGGCGUAAAGCGUGCGCAGGCGGUUGUGCAAGACAGAUGUGAAAUCCCCGGGCUUAACCUGGGAAUUGCAUUUGUGACUGCACGGCUAGAGUGUGUCAGAAGGGGGUAGAAUUCCACGUGUAGCAGU
rnacentral:rRNA from 1 species